GGCGUCGGGGGUGGCCGAGGUCAGCGCCGUCGCCCGGGGUGCGACGCUGCGGUCGCUGCGGACGGCGGGCUGGCGGUUGCAGACCGCCGACGGCCC
rnacentral:tRNA from 1 species